rnacentral:sRNA from 1 species
GUAUUUUUAAUAGAGAUGGGGUUUCACCAUGUUGGUUAGGCUGGUCUCGAACUCCUGAACUCAUGAUCUGCCCACCUCGGCCUCCCAAAGUGCUGGGAUUAUAGGAGUGAGCCACCAUGCCUGGUCCUCAAAUUUACUCUUAAUGCUCAGUUAAUAUAAAGGAUUCCUAACAGUUUACAACGUGGUUUUCUUGUUUUUGUUGUUGUUUUGGUUUUUUAAGAUAUGAGGUCUCAUCUUAUUGGCCAGGCUGGUCUCAAGCUCCUUUCCUCAAGCAAUCCUCCCACCUUGGCCUCCCAAAGAGCCACCUGUCCAAUGAUUUAUCCUGUUUCUUCAGGACUGUCUUUACCUUCUUAGACAUUUUGGCAUACCAUUCUAGAAGUCAAAUUCCAAGUGCAGUGAUUUUUUUUUUCCUAGUCCAUUAUAGUUAAUCUUCUUGUUAGUGAUCAAAUAUCAAAAGAGAAAAGCACAACCAGAAAUUUUGGCUAUUUGCUGCAAGACUAAUAGUUGUAGGUCUCUAUACUAAGUUGUUGGGCUCUAUACUAAGAACUUGAAAUUUUUAAAUUAGUAUCCCUGCCUAGGUGAAAAGUUUUUAAUAAAUGUGUGGAAAAUCAAUUUUAAAUCCAUUUAAUUUAGACUGGAGUGGGCGUGAGAAACUGCAAGUCUAUUUCUACAUAUAAGGAUAUAUUAUCCUAUCCCACCACUACCUUUUUCUCAAUUUCUAUUUCUUUGUAGUUAUUUUAAUAAAAGCCAUUUGGAUUCUGAGAAGCACUAAUUCUUAGUUGUGAGAGGUCUAUGCAAGUAAGACAGAAUCAUUAAAUGAAGCUCACUAAAUGAAGUUCUCAUUUCUCUCUAAUAGACUAUGCUAGCAAACUUCGUUUUCUUGAUGGUGUUUAAAUAAUUUAGUAUCUCACUACAAUAAUAGUUUUUAACUGGAAGGGUGUGAUGUGUUUUUUGUUUUUUGUUCUCAGAGUUGUCUUCUGAGAUAAUCAUUACCACAUCAUUUGUGGGGUUGUGUUUUUUUCACAUGAUGUGACAGAAAUUAUAACUCAUAAGAUUUAGGCAUAAUCUGGUUUUAAAACCUUGAUUGAAACUGUUGUUUUUUAACUUAGCAGGCAGCCUAGGCCAUGGCUGAAAAGAAGGGGUAAGUCCUUCAUUGCAUGAUGAUGUGUGCAGGUUUUCCUGAUUUUCUAAUUUUUAUAUUUGAAUUCACAUGUGUAAUUUCACAUCAAUAACUUGUGUUUCUGAAAUAUCCUAACUAACUUGUUAAUAAGGAAAGAAACCAGAUUUGCUUAAAUCUGUUCAAGGCUGACAUUCUGAAAUUCUAAACUGGAAAUAACUUCCCAGAGUAUUUGGAAAGGUUCUAAUUACGAGGAUCAGGCCUAAAAUAGCUCCUUGGGAAAGAAAUUUCCUUUUUGAUGAGAAAACUUAAAAUAUUGUUUUUGGUAAUGUAAGCAGUUAAAAACAUGACUUUAGAAAGACAGCUUAAUGUGUAUUAAAGCAAACCUUUGUUUUGUUGCUUUUGCUUUUGUUUGUAGAAGACAGAGGAAGUCAUUAUACCAAAAAGUAAUAGUAUAUGUAAUUUUGAGUGAGGCUACUUAUAUCUUAGAAUGGGUAUCCUUGAACUAUAUCUACCCCACCAUGGCUUAAAAAAUCAGUGGUAUAUAUUGAGAAUGUCAGUCAUGAGCUUAGUGUUUAAGUAACACAUCCCACUUACAGUUGUUUGCAUGAUUAGUCUUGUGUAUCAUGAUGUUCAACUUUGCUUUUGCUGUGCCAGUUCAAAAAUAACUUUUUGCUAAAAACUCUUAAAAUUCAUGAUAUGAGUUUUGUUUUGAUCACCUGGUUUUCUAUAGUAUUUCUGGGACCAAAAAAUUUAAAUAUACCUUUUUAAUAUAAAACAGAAGUUUGAAGCUGGAAAGAUAGUGUUUAUGGAAGAUUUGUGUGCUUUUGUGUUUUUUAAACCCGUCAGGCUGCUGGUAAGGCAGUUUCUAGGGCUCACUUUUCCUCCUUACCUCUUGACUAGUGUAGCAUGUGGUAUGUUUAAAAUAUUUCAUUUUCUGCUUUGUAAUUCUAACGUCAACACUAUACUGUAUGUAGACAGGAGAGCUGAUUUGUAUAUUUUAGUUAUUUGGUCUAAUCAAGCAUAACUAAAGGGACUUCUUUUUUGAUACUUUUCUCAAGUUAAGUUUAAAUAUAGCAUACUGGCCACAUUUCAUGUCUUUGAAAGUGUUGUACAUUACUGUAAACCAAGUACUCUGUCUACACCAGAGGGUGCUUUAACUGUAAAAUAUUUGAGAAACAAUUCAGUCUCUCAAACAUUUUGGCACAGUUCAUCGCUCCAGUUUGUUACUUUCUUGAGAAUAGUCCAUUUUUUUGUUUUUGUUAUUAUACCGUGUGUUCUGGUCAUUGGAAACAGAACAGCUCAUAGUUGAGUGAUGUAAUAUAAUAACAGUAAUAUAACCUAGUGGUCAUUUUGCUUCAAGUAAUUUAAUUAGAUAGCAAAAUCACUGCUGUUUGUUUAUUACAUUUGUAGGGCUUUUUGUCUUACUCAGUGACCAUCACUACGAAUGUCUUACAUUGAAGCACAGACUGCAGAGCACUUGUUAACUUAGUCCUCCUGCAUAAUGCACUUGUGAAAAGUAGUGCUUGCUAGGUGUUUGAAGAUUUUAUGAUCCGUGUGCUUGGGCUUGUUGAGUUAUUUGUAAAAUAAACAUUUAGUUUGAGUUGAUGCAGUAAGUUUUUUGGGCUAGUAGUUUCCAGGUCCCUACUCUACUGAAAAUAUAAUCUUCACUAUCUCCCCUUAAGUCAGAAGAGAUGUAGUAUUUAGAACACCUUGAGACAUGACAUUGUAAAAUAGCUUGUUUUAUGUUCCUGAAGCUAUCUUGUUCUCUGUUAAAGCUACUAAUUGUCUCAGUGUAAGUUUUAAAUAAACAUAUUUCUUUAAA